GGCAGAAGAUGGGUGGGAGGGCUGUGGUGGCGCUGCUCUAAGAACCAUGACACUAGGUGGGUGACUUUAAUUUCUGUCCUUUUGGAAACAAGGCAAGCCUUGUUUUAUAAUGCAAAGAAACAUAUUUUUUCCUGAUAUGCAAAGCAAAAAGAAUACAUAUGCAUGUAAAAUCUUUGUUCUUGCUUAGAAGCAAGUACUCCUUAAAUUAAGUACUUGCAGGGCCAAAGAUAUUGGACAUGAAGAAUCAAGGGUAUGACCAGGGUAUGGAUAUCUAGUGUUCCUGUUAAUACAGCAUAUGUCUAGUACAGCAAAUGGUAAGUGGAAGUGUGUUUAUUUCAACACAGUAUUCCAUCAUUCAGUUUUCUAUGAUGUAUUUAAGAAAACAAGCUGUGCUCUAUCAUCUCAUUCUGUUGCAACAGCAAAUUUCUAUAUAUUAGUGUAAUAAGCUAUGAAAUAACAGGAAGUUUUGCCUAUCUUAUGCAAAGCAGAGCUUUCUUACAACGGGCACAUGCUCUUGUGUUUCUCCGUGUUUCAUUUUUUUGGGUUAGACUCAUGCAGAGUUCAGAUAAAUUCCUUUUUCUGCAGGGCUUUUAUUGCAUUCAUUGAGGAAAAAAGAUUCUGUUGUAGUCAGCCUUUUAUAUGAAGCUAAUAUUUUUAUUGUCAAUUUUUGUUCCACACAUCAUUUUAACAGUUAGCAAAGCUGGGGCUGUCUUUUAUCAAGACAGGAAAGAGUUAUCUGAAUACUGGAAAGAUCACAGUGAUUGUACUCAUGGGAUAACGGUAUCUCAUGCUACAUCGGGAAAGGUGUCUCUGGUAUUAAGUAUAUCUGUCUUGAAAACUGGAGCUUGUGUAGAAUCUUUGCAGUCACAGUUUUAACAGAGAAUUGUGCAAACUAAAUUGUUUAGUCCGUGUCAUUGUGAGAUGCUACUUCAUUCAUUCUGUACUUUAUUUUAUUGUUCCAUUUUGUAGUCGUAUGUAGGUCUCAAACUCCAGAAUCAAUGGCCAGAAGAUACGUCACUAUUUCUUUCUUGGUAGCUUCCAGCUGGGAUUGAUUGAGUGAUGUAUCUCACCUUCCUCAAGAUCAGCAUGCAUGGUGCAGAAGUCAGAAGACUGCCGUUUCACAAGUUUCCUCCAAUAUGUAAAUUUGUACAUUAUGGGUAUCUCUACCACUCAUCCUGCUCAGAAAGUGUCCUUCAGCAGCUGUGCAAUCCUGCGUCACCAAAGAGGGGAGUAGAUGGGAUUUCAGUGUGAAAUUUGGAAGAGGACAGGAAAGCAGGAUCAAGGAAAAACAGCAAUUUCUGCAGAAAAGAUACCAGGGAGUUUGAGAAAUCAUUUUGACUGAUCAGUCAUUUCUGCAUUGAAGAACGGGCAUUGUGAGGUGAUUCAUAAGCAACCUGUGCAGCUGUCUAACUUCC